rnacentral:rRNA from 1 species
GUAGGUGGUUUGUUAAGUGAAUAGUGAAAUCUUGUGGCUCAACCAUAAGGCUAUUAUUCAAACUGGCAAACUCGAGAGUGAGAGAGGUCACUGGAAUUCCUUGUGUAGGAGUGAAAUCCGUAGAUAUAAGGAGGAACACCAAUGGCGUAGGCAGGUGACUGGCUCAUUUCUGACACUGAGGCACGAGAGCGUGGGGAGCGAACGGGACUAGAUACCCCGGUAGUCCACGCCGUAAACGAUGGAUGCUAGCUGUUAGGAGUAUCGACCCUUCUAGUAGCGAAGCUAACGCGUUAAGCAUCCCGCCUGGGGAGUACGGUCGCAAGAUUAAAACUCAAAGGAAUUGACGGGGACCCGCACAAGUGGUGGAGCGUGUUCUUUAAUUCGAUGAUAAGCGAAGAACCUUACCAGGGCUUGACAUCCUUGGAAUUUCUGCGAAAGCAGAAAGUACUUUAUUGGACCAAGUGACAGGUGUUGCAUGGCCGUCGUCAGCUCGUGUCGUGAGAUGUUUGGUUAAGUCCAUUAACGAGCGCAACCCUUAUGAUUAGUUGGAUUUUUCUAAUCAGACUGCCUCGGUAACGGGGAGGAAGGAGGGGAUGAUGUCAGGUCAUUAUUACCCUUACGUCCUGGGCUAGAAACGCGCUACAAUGGCCGGUACAAAGGGCAGCCAACCCGCGAGGGGGAGCAAAUCCCAUCAAAACCGGUCCCAGUUCGGAUUGCAGGCUGAAACUCGCCUGCAUGAAGCCGGAAUCACUAGUAAUCGUAGGUCAGCACACUACGGUGAAUACGUUCCCGGGUCUUGUACACACCGCCCGUCAAACCAUGGAAGUCACCAACACCCGAAGUACUAACUUGUUUAGUCCUAAGGUGGGGGGGAUAACUGGGGUU